CGGCCUCCCCUCCCCUCCCCGGCCUCGCGAGGUCCCGCGACACCGACUGCAGCCGGUCCCCGGAAGAGGCCGGUCCUCCCUCUCCUCAGUCCGGAACGGCUUCCUCUCAGAGCUUUGUCUCACUUCCACUUCUCAGUGCCAGACGCCGCAGCCACCUCCUGUCAUCGCCCCUCAAGCCAACAUGGCGGCUGCAGCUGCCUGAACGCGAGUCGGGGACUCCGGGAGCUCGCCCCCCACUAGCGGCCGCCGCCCCCGUCCCCCUCGCGGACACCGAGUGCGUCACGACGGAGGCCACCCUGGAGCAUCACGGGAAGGAUCAGGCAGCUACCAGUUUAAUAGGAGAUCAAGCUGACUCCUAAUACAGAGCUCGUCCCACUAUCUCCUCUCCUACCAACAAACUUCUACAAAACCAAGGAGGACUAUUAAUCACUCUACUGCAUAAUAUAUUCAACCCAAGAAAAGGAAUAACCUGGGUAUGUGCCCUGACCUGGAAUU